rnacentral:rRNA from 1 species
GACGAACGCUGGCGGCGUGCUUAACACAUGCAAGUCGAACGGAAAGGCCCUGCUUUUGUGGGGUGCUCGAGUGGCGAACAGGGGAGUAACACGUGAGUAACCUGCCCUUGACUUUGGGAUAACUUCAGGAAACUGGGGCUAAUACCGGAUAGGAGCUCCUGCUGCAUGUUGUGGGUUGGAAAGUUUCGGCGGUUGGGGAUGGACUCGCGGCUUAUCAGCUUGUUGGUGGGGUAGUGGCUUACCAAGGCUUUGACGGGUAGCCGGCCUGAGAGGGUGACCGGCCACAUUGGGACUGAGAGACGGACCAGACUCCUACGGGAGGCAGCAGUGGGGAAUAUUGCACAAUGGGCGGAAGCCUGAGGCAGAAACGCCGCGUGCGGGAUGACGGCUUUCGGGUUGUAAACCGCUUUCGCCUGUGACGAAGCGUGAGUGACGGUAAUGGGUAAAGAAGCACCGGCUAACUACGUG